rnacentral:rRNA from 1 species
AGCACUCCUACGGGAGGCAGCAGUGGGGAAUAUUGCACAAUGGGCGCAAGCCUGAUGCAGCCAUGCCGCGUGUAUGAAGAAGGCCUUCGGGUUGUAAAGUACUUUCAGCAGUGAGGAAGGUGGGUAUGUUAAUAGCAUAUUCAUUUGACGUUAGCUGCAGAAGAAGCACCGGCUAACUCCCGUGCCAGCAGCCGCGGUAAUACGGAGGGUGCGAGCGUUAAUCGGAAUUACUGGGCGUAAAGCGCAUGCAGGUGGUUUGUUAAGUCAGAUGUGAAAGCCCGGGGCUCAACCUCGGAAUUGCAUUUGAAACUGGCAAACUAGAGUACUGUAGAGGGGGGUAGAAUUUCAGGUGUAGCGGUGAAAUGCGUAGAGAUCUGAAGGAAUACCGGUGGCGAAGGCGGCCCCCUGGACAGAUACUGACACUCAGAUGCGAAAGCGUGGGGAGCAAACAGGAUUAGAUACCCUGGUAG